rnacentral:rRNA from 1 species
UACGUAGGGUGCGAGCGUUAAUCGGAUUUACUGGGCGUAAAGCGUGCGCAGGCGCCCCGUUAAGACAGGUGUGAAAUCCCUGGGCUCAACCUAGGAAUUGCGCUUGUGACUGGCGGGCUCGAGUACGGUAGAGGGGGGUGGAAUUCCUGGUGUAGCAGUGAAAUGCGUAGAGAUCAGGAGGAACACCGAUGGCGAAGGCAGCCCCCUGGGCCUGUACUGACGCUCAUGCACGAAAGCGUGGGGAGCAAACAGG